rnacentral:tRNA from 1 species
UUAAAGUGGCAGAACUUAAUGCGAGGAAUUUAAGCUUCCUCUAUGAAAUUUUCCUUUAAU